CAGUAGCCACGGGAAAACGUAGGUGGCAAGCGUUGUCCGGAAUUAUUGGGCGUAAAGGGCGCGUAGGCGGACAGUUCAGUCGGGGGUGAAAGCCCGGGGCUCAACCCCGGAACUGCCUUUGAAACUAGGAGACUUGGAUCUUGGAGAGGUCAGUGGAAUUCCGAGUGUAGAGGUGAAAUUCGUAGAUAUUCGGAAGAACACCAGUGGCGAAGGCGACUGACUGGACAAGUAUUGACGCUGAGGUGCGAAAGCGUGGGGAGCAAACAGGAUUAGAUACCCCGGUAGUCCCUGUCUCUUAUAC
rnacentral:rRNA from 1 species